rnacentral:rRNA from 1 species
CAGUCGCCGCGGUAAUACGAAGGGUGCAAGCGUUACCCGGAUUUACUGGGCGUAAAGGGCGUGUAGGCGGCCUGGGGCGUCCCAUGUGAAAGGCCACGGCUCAACCGUGGAGGAGCGUGGGAUACGCUCAGGCUAGAGGGUGGGAGAGGGUGGUGGAAUUCCCGGAGUAGCGGUGAAAUGCGCAGAUACCGGGAGGAACGCCGAUGGCGAAGGCAGCCACCUGGUCCACUUCUGACGCUGAGGCGCGAAAGCGUGGGGAGCAAACCGGAUUAGAGACCCCAGUAGUCCCUGUCUCUUAUAC